AUGUGUUUGGCAGUCACAGUAUUUGCCACUAUAUUUGGUGAUCCGGUCAUCAAUAUGUUCAUGUUCUACAACCCUAUCGGCCCCGGGCAAAGAAUCACACACUUUAUCAUAGGCGAGGACUGGUCGUGGCUAUAUGCAAGUGUGGUCGCCGACACCCAGGCAGGCUCAACGUAUCGCAUGCAUACACAGGCUCUUUUCUUCAUACUAUGCACCUUGAAUUCUGUGAGAUAUACACGUACAUUGCUCCCAAGUACAUUGCUCCCAAGUCAUAUAGAGAUGAGUAAGAGAAGAAAAAUGAAUGUGCCCCUGUUUACAUCAAGAGAAUGUACCCCAUAUAAGGACCUAACAAACACAACUAUGGAUGGUAGUGCUAAUAUCCCACAUAAUCAAACAGACGAUCCUAAAAGGAAAAGUGUUCAAUCAUGGUAUGACAAUGUCGGAUGA
rnacentral:rRNA from 1 species